rnacentral:lncRNA from 1 species
CUUUCCCAUUCCUAGCUCACCUCACCCAUCGUGAAGCCUGGAUUUCCUUUUUAUCACCGGUUUUGAUGGAUUCGAUUAAGGUGUUCCUUGGUGAAGUUUUCUGCAUGUUUCUUGUUCUUAGGAUAAUCAUAUUUCUGUAAUAUUUGAAGUUUAUUGUUUCCAUGGAGCUUCUAAAUCUUUCAUCCAGUAUGUUUUAAAUAUCUUUGUCUCUCUUCUCCACUACCUGCC